rnacentral:rRNA from 1 species
AUUGAACGCUGGCGGCAGGCCUAACACAUGCAAGUCGAGCGUGAAAGUCCUUCGGGAUGAGUAAAGACGGCGGACGGGUGAGUAACGCGUAGGAAUCUACCUAAUAGUGGGGGAUAACGUUUCGAAAGGAACGCUAAUACCGCAUACGUUCUGAGGAAGAAAGCAGGGGCUCGCAAGACCUUGCGCUAUUAGAUGAGCCUGCGUCCGAUUAGCUAGUUGGUGGGGGUAAAGGCCUACCAAGGCGACGAUCGGUAACUGGUCUGAGAGGAUGAUCAGUCACACUGGAACUGAGACACGGUCCAGACUCCUACGGGAGGGCAGCAGUGGGGAAUAUUGGACAAUAGGGGGCGAACCCUGAUCCAGCCAUGCCGCGUGUGUGAAGAAGG